GGUGGUCUAGUGGUUAGGAUUCGGCG
rnacentral:piRNA from 6 species